UGCUGUAAGUUACAUUGUAUGCCCUGCUAGCACAUUGUAUCAAAUUCUGGUAUUUUUCAACCUGGGUCUUAUUCUCAUAACUGUGGCAAUUCUGACUAUGGAUCAUGUUAACUUGUAGAUCCUCUGUACCUCUACAACCCCUUGCAAAAGCAGAGGUUCGACAACAUGUAAGGGCAAGCAGUACAAGCCUUCCAACCCAUUCCAAAUGAUUUGAAACACCUGUCUCUGAGUCCAACCAAACAUAAACACAAGAUUAGGUAUUGUAACUAAUUGCAUAGGGAUCUUCUUCCAGGGAGUCCAUUAUCUAUUUAAAUUCAGGUAUUUUUCCAGCGGGAAAAAGAUCCAAAAUGGGGCUGGCUAACAGAACUCAACUGUACAACCCUAACAAACUCUUACAAAAAUGACUUGUGAUUUUUUUCUGAUCUGUUCUUUGGUUAGGUUUAUAAAACUAAAACCACUUUGUAACCUAAGUUAAUAUAACCUUAAACAAAUAAAUAUAUUGCAAGCAAAUUAAAUAACAUUAGUAAUGAAGUUAAUUAACAUUUACAAUAGUGCAAUAUUCAUACAUACAAAUAUUUUAGACUUACAUAUUUCGUAAUAAAAUUAAGUACUUUAGGAGGACUAGCACCUGAAUACAGGUCAAUUGUUAAUUUAAUCUGAACCGCACCCUAUAAUGGUUCACCUCACUUUACUACAGAGGCUAAACUUGACCAUGCCUGUUGCAUGUAGCUUCUCAAUUCAAGCUGGGGAACGAAGAUGGCUAACCACCCUUAAGAGAAUUCACGAUGGAUAGGUGUCUGCCUCUGCAAGAGCAACCUACACUCCAAGGAUAAGGACACUGAUUCAUACACCUGAAUCAUGGCAGGACUAAACCCUCAGUGCUGCAACACGCAGUGUAACUCAUUUGGACUUGUAAAGGACUUAAUAAAAGGACUGAUUGUGUAAUUUAAGUUUAUUGAUCAUAUAUCUUGUUCUGUGGAAUUUUUUGUUUUGUAUCUUUGCUUCUGUAUUGUAUUUUAUUUUCCAUUUACUUUGUGCCGAAUUUGUAAUGCAAAUGGUUUACUGUAAAUUCUAAACUUAUGUACUGGUUAAGUAUCUAAACUAGAAGGAAGAACUAAACUCUUAAAUAGGCCUAACUAAGAUAAAAUGAGAACUUAGAGCUGAGUCAACUCAAUGAAAAAUGAGAAACUAAAUAACAACUAAAGGUAACCUAAGUUGAAAAUUAUCUCUUGAACUCAAAUAGGUUUAAAUCAAAGCAAACUGAGAAAUACUUAUUUUUCCUGAGAUUUGGGUUUUAUUUUGGAUGGUUUCAAGUAGGCCUGGGCCUUCACUUAAAUGCAUUAAAUGCAAACCGCCAUGAAAACACAUAACAAAUACGCCCCGGCUCAUGAACAGCCUAUCAUAUCCCUUGAUUAUGGAGCGUGCUACGAGUGACACGCAAACAGCCAAUCAACAGGUGUUGUUCGGUUGCACCAUUGACAUGUGACAACAACAACAGAAACAGUGUGGAGUGCAGACGGUCAGGAAAUUGUUUUUAAAAUUUGCUGUGCAGCAAACUUAGCGGUUCUAGCACAGGAGCUUUGGACGGCCGAGAGGAGGAGGUUUUCAGGAGCGGGGCGUGGGGCCACAGCGGGGAAUGUUGACGGGCGCAGGAAUGGGCCCCCCAAACGGAGCCGGCGAGCAGGCAGCCUCCCAGUGAACACAGCCUGACCGGGACAGACGGAGGCCAGUUUGCGACAGGGAAUACACUACCGAUGUGAUUUACAAUGACGCCGACCAGGACUCCGGGGACGACAAAGUCACGGCGGGGGCAGGAGAGGCGUCAAGCGGGAGAGGAGCGAGAAUGAGGUCGGGCAUCAGAGAGACUUACUGCGUGAACUCUCUGAAGAAGAAGACGUCUCGGAGCUGCUGCUGCUGCUGGUACUGUACUGUCUCUGCCACCACCUGGGCCCACCAGGACUUCUCUGGAUCCAUUUUCGACCAACAACCGGGGGAUUUCUCAACACCGGCGCUGGGUGCGCUAAGGAGCUGCUUGUUGGACGUUCGUCAAGUACCAAGAAGCUGUUCCCCUGCUCUGGAGCUUCGUCAAGUUGAAUCAUUCUGUAUUUCUACUACUUUGUAGCUUUGAUAUUUUGUCAUCGUUGAUUGUAUAUUGUCAUUCCAUUUCUCUACAUUGUACUAAUUUCUGUACUUUGGAUAUGCUCACCUGUUACAUGCCACGCCCUAGAUGGAUCCCCCAUCUGUUGCUCUUUCUGAGUUUUCUGAUAAAGCUUUUUUGUUUCA